rnacentral:miRNA from 10 species
CAAGCACCUGCUCUGCUGAUC